rnacentral:lncRNA from 1 species
UGGAUAAGAAAGGCAUUGUAUUUGCUGUUGGCACCUCGCCCAGAUCAUCCACCAGGCAGGUGCGUCCAUCCCUAGCUGCUGAGUGUUGACUGCCAAGUCCUCACAGUGACCCCUUUUCUGGGACACUGACUCUUUCUGAAUAGGACUGGACUCAUCUGUGAGAUGGGGCGACCCUCCCUCACUGGAGCCUGUAGCCAAUGGCUGACUGACAUAGGACUACAAAAAGCUGGCAUCCUGGCCUCAAGGUGAUACUCCAGCUGAGGCCACCUCCUUGUUCAGCUCGUCCCCUGCUCCAUUCUUCUUCCCUCCUUUUCUCCUGAGAUCACUUUCUUAAUCAGCCACCUGCAGAAGAACCCCCAUCUCAGGUUCCACUUUUAGGGAGCUCAACUUCAGACAGGAUUGGCACAGCCAGGGGCUCCAAGGAUGGCCGAUGAGGAACAGUGUCUGAAGUAGUGUUUCCCAAAGAGUCACCCCUCUGGCUAUGUGCAAAUCCAUGGUUCAGACUCCAGACUGUGGAAUCAAAGUUUCUGGAGUGAAUGAAACGAACCACAUUUUUAUUGGCUUCUGGCUUACUCAGUCCUCCAGAAAUCUAGAUGCUCUUUCAAAGUAGAUGAAUGUCAGUGCCACAAAUGACCACAGACCACCCCACCCCUGGUUGCUGCUGGCUUUGGAUUGGACUUUUAGUGAACAAGAAAUAAAUUUUUAUUGUCUCAAGUCAUGGAAAUCUUGGGAUUUGUCUAUUACACCAGUCAGUUUUACCUUAACAAACAUACUUGCAAUCUCCAUUAGACAUAGAGAAUAUUUGUGCUCAUUUGCAUGAUGAGAUGAUUUCUUUCCUUGUGUAAAUGGUGACCAGAUGACAACAUUUCUCACAACUGUUGAUAAUGUCAUCUGCCUUCAGUUACUAAUGGUUGUCAUUAGGGUGAAGCUAACUGUCUCAGUUCAAAUGUUACCUCUUUACAAAGGCUCUCCUGGCCUCUCUAUUCAAAGUAUUCUACAACUCACACUCCAGGUAGUUUUAUCCCAUUAAUAAUUUCAGUGGAUGUAUUAGUCUAUUUUCAUACUCCUGAUAAAGACAUAUCCAAGAAUGGGAAGAAGAAGAGGUUUAAUGGACUUACAGUUCCAUGUGGCUGGGAAAGCCUCACAAUCAUGGUGGAAGGCAAGGAGAGGAG